AUGUCUCUGUUUUAUAAAGAAGGGGAGUACACAUGGCGGCCUGAGUUUCCUUGGCACUGCCAGCCCCGGCGGCAUCCUGGUCAUGAAGUCCUGCUCCCCGACGUGCCCCAACAGCACCGUGUCCUCCGAUGGCCGCGCCCUCUCGGUGUCCUGCUGCCAGGGCAGCCAGUGCAACCGAAGCUCAGCCUCAGGCCUGGGGGGCAGCCCCGGGGCCCUGUGGACCAGCACCGCAGCCAGCCUGCUGUGGGCCCUGCUCCGGGUGCCCUGCUGAGGCCCUGGCCUGGAGUUCUCCACAUGGCCCCUGCAGCCUUGCCAGCUCCCACACACCCCACCCGAGGCAGCAGGGUCCCCGUCUCAUCGGCCACGCCCUUCCCUCCCUUGCCCAGGCCACACCUAGCCCUUCCCUGGCCCUGGGGAGAGAUAAAGGAUCCCUCCCCCAUGGGCUCUGGCCCUGGUGAGGGAGCUCCACCCCUGCCUCAGGGAAUCGCUGGUGGGUGCCCCAAAGGAGAUGCCCGCUCCAAGACCCACACCUGCAGGAGCCCCUCGGCCCUUUGCUGGGGUCCUGGGAACCCUGGCCAGCCACAAGUGGGAAGAGCCUCCCAGUUCUCUCCAACACCGUCUAUAACAAUUUCAGAGGCUAGGGGCUGAGGGGCUGGAGCUGGGGAUUUCUCCUCCUCUCCCAUGCCUGGCCUGACAGAGCUCUGUGCAUGUCACACCCCUCGGCCUCCUCUUCUGCCCACAGUGGCCCUGGAAGAAAGGACAUGGCUCAGGGGUUUAGGCUUGCCUCCCUCUGACUCUCUCCUCUCCACCAGCUGCCCAGAUCCCCCACCCCUCCCUCCCUCCCUCCCUCUUUCCCUUCCUCCCUCCCUCCAUCCCUCCAUCCGUCACAAACCUGCCCAGGGUGUCCUUGCAGCAGGUACCCUGAAGAGGGACCUGCCACUGGGGGCUCAGUCUGCUGGUCAGUGUCCCCACCCCAGGGACCCUUCUCAGCCCCAUCCAGGUGAACAAUGGCCUUUUAAAUGGUCCGCUGGUUGUCCACUGUGGGGAGGUGAGUCACCUUGGGGCUCAGUGUCAGGCACUGGAAUUGGGGGUGUCCAUUCUCACUGGGCAUGGGGGGCUCAUCCUGGCCCUCCAGGCAGGGACCCCUGCAGUGCCCCCCCAGAAUAAAGCUGCCAGUUCUGUCUGUUCUCACUCUCAGAGUGCCUGGUCCAGGGCAUGUUCCUCAUCCCUAGCCAGCUGCGCCUGGGAAAGGGGUAGGCAGGCAGGGGGCGCUUUACAGAGGGGAGGGUAGAAUUCUUGGUGCUCAGGCCCAGGUGUGGGAGAAAUGCUUCUGGUUUGUUACCUGGGAAUCCUGAGUCCCCCCUGAGCCCUACUCAACCAUAAAGGCAGAAACACAUGUGCAGUCAGUCUUGAGUCGGGGGUUGCCUGGGGUCCUCUGGGGAGCCCUUCUGAGCCUCGGUGUCCCUUGUCUAUGCAACCCCACCAGAGGCCGGGAUCCUGCGCACUUGGCCCUCAGCCCUGCAGGGCGCCCCACACACCCCCAGUCCUCUGUCUCCGGUGGGGGCACAGGACUCUUCCGCCACCCUGGACAGGCUUCUCAAGGUCAUGUCUCCUCCCAGGGCUAUUCCAGGGUGGCAAGGCCAGAGCCACACCCUGCUCAGCAUGUGGCUAUGGGCACAGACGCAGGGCCCUUCCUCAGGAAGCCCCCCAGGUCCUGGCACCCACGGUGCUCUCAGGGCUUCUCUGUUCCCUUGGCCUGAGGGCCCUUCCCUGGCCCAGGGGCCUCCUCUUUCCAGGUCUGGAGUCCUUGCCCCGCUGUUCUGCCUUUUCAAGCUUGGAAGCCAGGAAGAGAUGUCUUUUCCCUUCCCCGACUUCUUUAUCCCUCACCUCCCUUCCCCAGGUGAUGGGCACAAGUUGCCAGGCCCAGUGAGUGGUAGAGGCCUCCUGCCUGGCAGAGCCGGCUGCCAUGGCCCAGGUGCCUGAGCCAGGAGCCGUGGUACUGGCUGGGAGCCUCCCUCCAUGGCUGUGGGAAUCUGAGCGGGCAGGUGUGCAGGCCUGAUUCC
rnacentral:lncRNA from 1 species